UACGUAGGGGGCUAGCGUUAUCCGGAUUUACUGGGCGUAAAGGGUGCGUAGUCGGUCUUUCAAGUCAGGAGUGAAAGGCUACGGCUCAACCGUAGUAAGCCUUUGAAACUGGGAAACUUGAGUGCAGGAGAGGAGAGUGGAAUUCCUAGUGUAGCGGUGAAAUGCGUAGAUAUUAGGAGGAAUACCAGUUGCGAAGGCGGCUCUCUGGACUGUAACUGACACUGAGGCACGAAAGCGUGGGGAGCAAACAGGAUUAGAUACCCGGGUAGUCCCUGAGCGGG
rnacentral:rRNA from 1 species